rnacentral:tRNA from 1 species
GAAAUGGGCUAAGCAAGCUGAAACUUCUAAUUUUAAGCUUAAGCGACGUAAUUUCGUUUACAUUUCU